rnacentral:rRNA from 1 species
AUUGAACGCUGGCGGAAUGCUUUACACAUGCAAGUCGAACGGCAGCACGGGGGCAGCCCUGGUGGCGAGUGGCGAACGGGUGAGUAAUACAUCGGAACGUGCCCGGUCGUGGGGGAUAACGUAGCGAAAGUUACGCUAAUACCGCAUCCGAUCUGAGGAUGAAAGCGGGGGACCUUCGGGCCUCGCGCGAUCGGAGCGGCCGAUGUCAGAUUAGGUAGUUGGUGGGGUAAAGGCCUACCAAGCCGACGAUCUGUAGCUGGUCUGAGAGGACGACCAGCCACACUGGGACUGAGACACGGCCCAGACUCCUACGGGAGGCAGCAGUGGGGAAUUUUGGACAAUGGGCGCAAGCCUGAUCCAGCCAUUCCGCGUGCAGGACGAAGGCCUUCGGGUUGUAAACUGCUUUUGUACGGAACGAAAAGGCUCUGGCUAAUACCUGGGGCUCAUGACGGUACCGUAAGAAUAAGCACCGGCUAACUACGUG